rnacentral:ncRNA from 1 species
GGACUGUAUCAGUAAUGAACAGUACCUACUUGUUUUUUUAAUACAUUAAAAAAUAAUCUGCCUUGAUCCAAUGUGACAGGGACGGAAG